rnacentral:rRNA from 1 species
UAGGGAAUCUUCCACAAUGGACGCAAGUCUGAUGGAGCAACGCCGCGUGAGUGAAGAAGGGUUUCGGCUCGUAAAGCUCUGUUGUUAAAGAAGAACGUGGGUAAGAGUAACUGUUUACCCAGUGACGGUAUUUACCAGAAGCCACGGCUAACUACGUGCCAG